rnacentral:piRNA from 1 species
UAGGCAGCUGAGAGGGCCUCCCAUCCG